UACGUAGGGGGCGAGCGUUGUCCGGAUUCAUUGGGCGUAAAGCGCACGUAGGCGGUCUUCUAAGUCGGAUGUGAAAGCCCCAGGCUCAACCUGGGAAGUGCAUCGGAAACUGAAAGGCUAGAGUACGGAAGAGGGUCUCGGAAUUCCCGAUGUAGAGGUGAAAUUCGUAGAUAUCGGGAGGAACACCAGUGGCGAAGGCGGAGACCUGGGCCGAUACUGACGCUGAGGUGCGAAAGCGUGGGGAGCAAACAGG
rnacentral:rRNA from 1 species